rnacentral:rRNA from 1 species
UACGAAGGGGGCUAGCGUUGCUCGGAAUCACUGGGCGUAAAGGGUGCGUAGGCGGGUCUUUAAGUCAGAGGUGAAAUCCUGGAGCUCAACUCCAGAACUGCCUUUGAUACUGAAGAUCUUGAGUUCGGGGAGAGGUGAGUGGAACUGCGAGUGUAGAGGUGAAAUUCGUAGAUAUUCGCAAGAACACCAGUGGCGAAGGCGGCUCACUGGCCCGAUACUGACGCUGAGGCACGAAAGCGUGGGGAGCAAACAGG